UAACUAACAUGGCUGUAGCCUACGUAGCUGAUGUAAUAUCGUGUCUAUGAUUGCGGUCGUGGUGUGAAUAGAUUUGUUAGUGAUUGCUAACGAUACAAAUAAUUACAUUUUUAAAAUUUAGUACAAUGUUUAAAUUUCUGAUAACAUUCGGAACAGGAGUGUAUGCAGGAAUCUAUCUCAGUCAAAAUUAUGAGAUUCCUAGAGUUGAUGAACCAUCGCAGCUUUGGGAAAAGAUAAAGGACUUUGCUAAUAAACACAAAAAGGAUAAAUAGCUGAAACUGACACCAUCUGUAUAUGAACAACAGGUCAACAUGAAUGGCAGCAGUGAAGUGAGUUCCACUUUCUGUCAUAAAACAUCUAAAGAAGAAGCCACGAAGUAACUUGCCGUUAAACUAAGACGAUGUAGUGAAAUUUUAAGAAUUUUAAUGCUAUAUGAACAUUCUGUAACAAUAUGUAAACAUGAUUUGUACCCUUUGUGUAUUAUAAAGCUCUGUACUGUAUGUUGGGAACCAAAACUACUUUGCCAUUAUCUUAA